GAUGAACGCUGGCGGCGUGCCUAAUACAUGCAAGUCGAGCGAACGGACGAGAAGCUUGCUUCUCUGAUGUUAGCGGCGGACGGGUGAGUAACACGUGGAUAACCUACCUAUAAGACUGGGAUAACUUCGGGACACCGGAGCUAAUACCGGAUAAUAUUUUGAACCGCAUGGUUCAAAAGUAAAAGACGGUCUUUCUGUCACUUAUAGAUGGAUCCGCGCUGCAUUAGCUAGUUGGUAAGGUAACGGCUUACCAAGGCAACGAGGCAUAGCCGACCUGAGAGGGUGAUAGGCCACCUGGGAACGGAGACACGGUCCAGAGGCCUACGAGAGGGAGCAGUAGGGAAUCGUCGGCAAUGGGCGAAAGCCUGACGGAGCGAGGCCGCGUGAGUGAUGAAGGUCUUCGGAUCGUAAAACUCUGUUAUUAGGGAAGAACAGAUGUGUAAGUAACUGUGCACAUCUUGACGGUACCUAAUCAGAAAGCCACGGCUAACUACGUG
rnacentral:rRNA from 1 species